rnacentral:rRNA from 1 species
CUUGGAAGAAUGUAUAGCAAUUGCUAAUUGUUUCUCCUUUAAAUGGAACAAUAUCGAUUUGAUCGAAUUAAAUUCUGGGUAAAAUUAUGAUAAUGACAUUGUUUACUCAUGAGUCUUGACCAAGUUACGUGCCAGCAGUCGCGGUAAUACGUAGAAGACAAGUGUUAUUCAUCUUUAAUGGGUUUAAAGGGUACCUAGACGGUGUAUUAAGCCUCAAAAGGAACUGAUAUACUAGAGUUACUUAUGAGGAAGUUCUAAAGUACUAGAGGAGUAGAGAUAAAAUUCAAUAAUACCUUUUUUUUAUAAAAAACUUCGGCACAGGUAUAGGUGAAAACAUCUUCUUAUGGGAUAACUGACGUUGAGGGACGAAGGCUUUUAAUCGUGAACAGGAUUAGAGACCCUGGUAAUGGAAGCAGAAAACGCUGAGUGUCAUAGAUUAGAUAAAUAUUUACUCUAUAAAUGAAAGUGUAAGCACUCCACCUCAAGAGUAAUUUGGCAACAUUGGAACUGAAAUCAUUAGACCGUAUUUGAAACCAGUAGUGAUGUAUGUUAUUUAAUUUGAUAAUCCGCAAAAAACCUUACCACAACUUGAAUGCCUAUAUAUUUAUUUUUAUUAUAUUUUUGUGUGUAGUUUUUUGUAUAACUUAAACUACACAUUAUACAAUAAUAUCAUAAGGUAAAAUCAUAGGUACAAGUGUUGCACGGCUGUCUACAGUUAAUGUCGUCAGACUAUGGUUAGUUCCAUUAAAUUAACGUAAACCCUUGCUCUAUUUUUAAAUAGAGUAGUUC